AGUGCCUGUGGAGCUCUGCCCUCUACCAGUACUUCGGUACUGGCAUGGUAGAGCUGUGAAGCAGGAAGCUCCCUCCU
rnacentral:scRNA from 1 species